rnacentral:lncRNA from 1 species
ACGGGAAAGGGUCCAAGGAUAUCCAUCCCCCAUUGCGCAAACGGCCAUGGGGCACUCAAGGGGGUAAGCUCGAUGGCGGGCUGUCUCUGGAUGUUGGCAUAUCUCUAACAUCGAUCGUACUUUCUGACGUACUCAAUUGAGUCACGAUGCAUAGUCGGCCAGUAAUAUCCUUGGCGGAGCAACUUGUGGGAUAAGGAUCUAGCCCCCAGAUGGCUUCCGCAGAUUCCUUCAUGCACCUCCCACAAGGCGUCGUCGGCUUCCGAAGGUUGGAGACAUUUUAAGAGGGGCAAAGAGUAUGAUCUCUUGUACAUCUUGUCCUCAUAGAGGAUGUACUGGGAGGCUUGAUUUCUGAGCUUUCGAGCUUUUUUUGCAUCAUGAGGGAGAACCCCGUCCCUGAGAUAUACCACCAGCGGGUUGAUCCAACUGGGCUCAUGAUCAAUUUCCAUCACGGGUCGCGAUUCCUCCGUACUUGGGCACUUCAGAACUUCAAAAAGAACACCCUUGGGCAACUCAGCUGGAGCCAGCGUAGCUAGCUUAGAGAGA